rnacentral:rRNA from 1 species
GACCCAGCGACGCCGCGUGCGGGAUGAAGGCCUUCGGGUUGUAAACCGCUUUCAGUAGGGAAGAAGCGAAAGUGACGGUACCUACAGAAGAAGCACCGGCUAACUAUGUGCCAGCAGCCGCGGUAAUACAUAGGGUGCAAGCGUUGUCCGGAAUUAUUGGGCGUAAAGAGCUCGUAGGUGGUUUGAUACGUCGGGUGUGAAAUUCAGGGGCUCAACCCCUGACCUGCAUUCGAUACGGUCAAGCUAGAGUUUGGUAGGGGAGACUGGAAUUCCUGGUGUAGCGGUGGAAUGCGCAGAUAUCAGGAGGAACACCGAUGGCGAAGGCAGGUCUCUGGGCCAAUACUGACACUGAGGAGCGAAAGCGUGGGGAGCGAACAGGAUUAGAUACCCUGGUAGUCCACGCCGUAAACGGUGGGCGCUAGUUGGGCGAACCUUCCACGGUUUGUGCGACGCAGCUAACGCAUUAAGCGCCCCGCCUGGGGAGUACGAUCGCAAGAUUAAAACUCAAAGGAAUUGACGGGGCCCCGCACAAGCAGCGGAGCAUGCGGCUUAAUUCGACGCAACGCGAAGAACCUUACCAAGGCUUGACAUAUACAGGAAUAUGGCAGAAAUGUCAUAGCCGCAAGGUCUGUAUACAGGUGGUGCAUGGUUGUCGUCAGCUCGUGUCGUGAGAUGUUGGGUUAAGUCCCGCAACGAGCGCAACCCUCGUUCUGUGUUGCCAGCAUUUAGUUGGGGACUCACAGGAGACUGCCGGGGUUAACUCGGAGGAAGGU